UAAGCUUCUUAAUGCCUCGCAGCCUCAGUUUCCUCAUCUGUAAAAUGGGCAUCCUUCUCAUAGGAUUGCUCUGAGGAAUUCAUGAGCGUGUUUGCAGAGCCUCACAUUUGGUGUAAGCUAUGACGAUUCAAAGUCAAGGACUGUCUUUUACUCAUUUUUUUUAAUCUCCCGUGUGUGGGCCGAAUGCUUAACCCCGGGCUGGCAGAAAGAAUGUCCUCAAUAAAUACCUUUAAAAAACAUCCCAGAGGUCUUUAAACACACACACACACACACACACACACACACACACACACACUCCUUUUUUUUUUAGAGCAGUUUUAGGUUUACAACACAACUGAGAGGAAGGGGCAGAGAUUCCCCAUGUCCCUCUGCCCCCCACACGUGCACAGCCUCCCAUUACCAACACCACUCACCACAUGGUAUAGUUUUUUUUUUUUUUAACCAAGGACGAACUCCUAAUGGCACACAGAAGUAGUCUACUGAAUGAUGUGGGUCCAUUAUCAUGACGUCACACAAAGUACCUUUACUGUGUCCUCCUCCUUCUUCUUUUCCUUGUUUUGCACCUGUUAUGCCAUGAAUCUGCGCUCCUUUCUAGUGGUUCUCGCAAGCGUGCUUCUCUGGGUGGGGAGCCUGGCGUCAGCUGAACGGUCUUUUCCUGAUGGUUUUCCUUCAGGCCUUUCAGGAAGCCAACUCGGUUCUUAGAGAGAGUGCUUAAUACACUCGAUAUAUACACGAAUUCUCUUGGCAAGAACUUUGCCUUCAACUCGUUUACAGCGAUGCUAACAGCCUACCGGGCAACAUGGACUCUUCUGGGUUUGCUGUGGUGACAUUUACAGGCUAUUCUUUUCCUUUUGCACACUGUCCCCCAUUCCCUGGAUUCCUCGACAUACCUUCUUUGAAGAUUUGCCUGGAACAGCUCCGUGUGUUCCGGAAGGCCUGCCUCUCUUUCCCUUCGUCUUUGUCAUUUUGGUGAAUUACUGGAAGGCAGUAAAUGCCUUUUGAGUGAGUGAAUCAAAAAAAGUCAUGGAUAAAGUAUGGAGGAAAAAUGCUCAGAGUGUAGACACCGAAACAGGUCUUCAGCUCCGCAGCCGGCGCUUGUCCACGGUUACUGCCAUGUUUCCACGGCUCAGCCUGGGCUGGAAACGAUCACCGGAGAAAACGGAUUGCAUGCUGUUCCUUUUGCACCUUCUUUGGACCCCACAUGGCACCCCAGCUUGGCCCCCAACUUCCUUCCCUCGUCACUUGCUGCUCCCGGGGCUCCUGGAGAAAUGACACAAGAAUCGGCAGUGACCAGACAUCUCCGAGCCUCCCUGGCCACCCAAGGCGCUGCGUGUGAACGGGCAGCAUUCGUUGCUGCACGAAGAGACCCGUUCAUUCAAAAAUCCAUCGUGUUAUCGAUACCUAUGGCCGCCACCUGUCCCUCUGCUUUCUCCCACGAUUCAGGAAAAGACUUGGCCGCAGGAAGGUUGUGACCUUCCUAGAAAUUGUCACCAUUAUAUCAACUCUCAAAGCGACUGAGCGCUCAGUUUGUGAAGACAGUUGUCCGUAUUUUACCUGCCCUUCACUCACGGACUCCUCACAACACCUUGGGGAGGGGGGUGCACCCCACUUCAGAGACGCAGAAACAGGGGCUCUGAGAGACGAUGUGCCCAGGGUGGGAGAGCCCGAUCCCUGACUCGAGAACACACUGCGGGACAGGUGUGGGACCUCCCGGCGGGCCACAGGUGAUCGGUGUCCUGGGAGACCUGCAUCGCGACAGCCCGUUCUUUCGAAAACAUUUGCUGAGUGCCUCGUUGUGUCAGGGAGCUGCAGGGAGGCAGGAAGGGUGUCCCCCGACUGCGCUGGAGAAGUGGAAAGCUGCCUGCUGAGACGGGACUCCCUCUGCUCCUUCCCACCCCGAGCGGGGCCAAGGGAGGUCCUGAUGAGAAAACGGAGGCACAGAGAGGUCUCUCCCAGAAAUCUCUUGGGGGGCCCCUAUGGCUGCAGGCUUCUCAUCGAGGGGAUGCUUUGAGAUGAGAAUGUGUUCUACACAUUCAGCAAAGGAACCCUGAUGGAUCCCCCAAAUCCGUGUAACCACUUCACAAUCAGGCAGAUUCCGUCCACGUGGAGCAACUUGGCACCUACUGGAAGAGCUACAGCUCAGAAGACGGAGCUCGCAGGCACUUCCAUGUUGUGUUCUCAGGACCCGAGAGGAGCCCCUGCAAGGGCUGUGCUGCACAGUGGAGCACUUUCAGCAACUUCCUUGGCCUCCACCUAACAGACGCCAGCAGCACCGACCAUCUCCCCACCCCUACCAAAGUCAGGACGAGCAAAACUGUCCCCAGACGUUGCCAAAUACCCCUGGGGGAGAGAUCACCCCGGUGGAGAGCCGCUGGACCAACCACACUGGACCUCAGUUGCAUCACCUGGGAAAUGGCCCCACUGGACCUCCUUGAAGGCAGAAGGUUGGACUAGGCCUGCGCCAUCCAACAUGGCCACCGCGAGUCACGUGGGGCCGUUGAACACUUGAAACGCGGCUCAUGUGACAGAGAAGUCCUGUGUGUGUAAAACACAGACUGCAUUUUGAAGACUGAGUAUGAUAAAAAUCAUGCAAGAUGCCUCCUUCAUAAUUUCCAUGUUGCUUCCAUGUUGAAACGAUGUUUGGAUGUAUAACAAGCUAAAAUGUGUUAUUACCACUACUUUCGCCAGUCCCUUCUUCCUUUUCAAAAUGGCUACGAGGAACUCUCUGGUGACCUACGUGUCUCACACCCCAUUUCUCUCAGGCAGCACUGGUGUGGAGAAGAGGCAAAUGCGAAUCAAACAGCAGAGAGUCACGGAGAGGACGUGCUGCUCCUGAGGGCCGGGCGGACGCGGUGCUUGGAGCCGUGUAGGGCGCUGGCGAGGGCGCUGGGCGGCGGACGACGGCUCGGACCGGGGGAUGCCAGGGGUCGGGGCAGGGGUCUGGGCUCGGGGAAGGCGCCCCUGAGGAAGCGACGCUACAGAGGAGCUCCGAGGGAGGAGGAGGAGGAGGAGCAGUUGGUGCGGAGGAGACGGCUGAGGCCAACGCGCUGAGCCAGGCGGAGCGCGGCGCAGACGGCACGGAGGUCACAGAAGGUUCUGGAACAGGCUGCUGGGUCCAAAUCUGAGCUCCAUCACUUGCUACCUCUGUAAUCUUGGGGAAGAACUUUCCCUGAAGUGCCCAGCGGAUCUUGUCUUCUGUCUGUGUUGGUCAGAACUGCGUCACCAGUGCACCCAGAGCAAUCCCUGGUGUUAGGAUCCCUGCGGCUGGGUGACACCAGCCAUGACCCAUGCCCUGGGGCCAGCCAGGCUUUGGUGGCAAGGAAGACGUGGAGAAUGCAUGCUGUGAUAUCACCGAUCGAUGUGGUGUGCCCUGAAUGGAUGAACGGCCAGCUCCGAAGACCUCUCCUUAGUAGAUCCCUAUCUGUUUGAUAUUUUAUUGUCCAGUAGCUCUUGGCACCAUGACUAUGAAAGGCAGGAUCCUCAUUUAAGAGAGCAGAAGAGAAACCAUCAGCUGAGCGGCCGUAUUUGCAGGCAGCACUCCGAAACCACAGAAGGCCCUAGAGCGGAGACGUGUGCUUGACAUUUAAGCGUCUACACUGACAUAUGCCCAUUACUGGACUCUUCAAUAAGCUGUGGCUGGUAUCUGUGGGGAACGAAGGCUUUCCCCUGUCAGUUUCUAAGUGGAAGAGGUGAAGCCAACUGGCCAUGAGGUCACUGACCCAAUUAGCUUGAGGCACGACCCCUGCAUGGAUGGGCGGGAACAGCAUGUUGUGAUCAUCUGGCAGCAGGGUCCUUGGACAAAGAGAAGUGGGUGGGGUGGGGUGUGGCCAAGUGAUACAAAUACUUCUGUGCUUUUUUGUAUGUAUGUUAUACUUCAAUUACAAGUUAAAAAAUGCAAAAAGGAAAAGAUAAUAGUCUUGACAAGUUUUUACCCAAAUCAAUAAUAAUAGUAAAAGACAGCAUAUGUUUCCCGUUUGACCAGGGCCGGAUGCUCUGCAAAGCGCUUGGCCUGCGUUGUCUUGUUUAAUCUUGAAAACGGUACGAUGAGAUACUUAUCACUGAUUGGAAAACUAGGUAAUGAACACCUGCUUGUAGGGGCCAUCGCCCAGGCCCUGAGAUCCAGCAGCUAACAAGGGAAACAAGGGUCUGUCCCCACGCACCUCCCAUUCCAGUGGACAGGUAUCCGUAUCAGCCCCAACCUGUAAUUAAAAACAAAAACAACAACAAAAAAACGGAGGUUCUGCUUAAAUCCUGUUUCUGGUUAUCGAUCAGGCCAGGAUUCAUUUCCAGAAGUCUCUGACUCCAAAACUCCCAACUGCUCUGACAUGCUGCUUCCUUCGUGUUGAUUCUCCCAAAAAGUUGGGCAGACAACUCUCUAAGCCAGCUCAGGAGUUCUUCAGGCUAUUAUAAGACAGGCUCUUUUAAUUUAUUUUUAAAGCAGAAAAGUUUCUGGUCACUGCAGAGUGUGAGGGAUGGUGGAUUGAGGGGCUCCAACGUUGUGACAAGGAUCCCCUCGGCGUCCUGCUAUCCUUGCUGUCAGCUUCCUUCCUGGCAGGAACUCCCCACGGCAGCCCCAGGCUUGUGUGGCCCCUACGACUGGCCAUCCUGGGAGGGCUGGCGUACCUCUCUCCUCGGCUCUGGCACAAAUCAGGACAGUGUCUGGCUUGGGGCAUGUAGCUUUCCCAGAACAAACUGCUUGUGAGGCCAAGGAUAUGGGUAUUCUUUUCAUAAUUUUAUUUGUUCUUUGAAUACGUUAUAUAGUCAAAUGGCACCAAAUUCAAGGUAAGAAGGAAAAGGCCACAAUGGAAAAGUACACCCCCCCCCAACCUGUCCUCUUGGCACCCAGCUUCCCUUCCUGGAGGUCCUCGUUCUUCAGCGCACAGGAGGAGAACACUCAAAGACAAAGGGAGUGGAGGCACCGCUGGCUGGUCCUGCUUCAUAGACGAAGAAAGAUGGCGGGGCUUAGUCUGAGCUUCCUAACACUGAGCUGCUCAAGUGGGAUGCGAUCCUGAACUGCUUGCCCGAUUCAGGAGGCCGCCUUUCCAUGAGCUGCCUUCCAGUCCACGAAGCCUGCGUUCCAGAACCUUGGAGAAGCCAGGCCUGUGGUUGGGAAGAGUACUCCCUGCAGGAGACAAGUGCAUUGGUGCUCUGGGUCAAGUUCUGCGGUCUUGUGAUUUGGUUUUCUGAAAGCCCACCGUGGGGCUGGUGCUCAGACUAGAGUGUCGCUGACAGGGACAAGACCAUUAUGUAUGGAGGGACCGCUCUAAAGAGCUGCAUUCCCCCAGAGUUCCCUGGGAGUUCUCCUCACUCUUGGUGCCUCUUUCUCUUAAUGACUUUUUUUUUUUUUAAAGAUUUUAUUUAUUUGACAGAGA